UACGUAGGAGACAAGCGUUGUCCGGAAUUACUGGGUGUAAAGCGCGUGUAGGCGGUAGACCAAGUCUGCUGUGAAAUCGCCCGGCUCAACUGGGCGCGGUCGGUGGAAACUGGUCAACUGGAGGACGGUAGAGGCGAGUGGAAUUCCCGGUGUAGUGGUGAAAUGCGUAGAGAUCGGGAGGAACACCAGUGGCGAAGGCGGCUCGCUGGGCCGGUCCUGACGCUGAGACGCGAAGGCGUGGGGAGCGAACGGG
rnacentral:rRNA from 1 species